CUGAGUGGAGAUCCAGGGUUUAAAUCUGGUGCUUGAUUGGAGACAGGUGGGCUCAGACGACUGGCCACUCACCUGAAACUAAUGACAGGGGAGGAGACUUACAGACACAAGAGGGGAGUAGGAAGACAAGAGGAAAAAGGACCGGAGAACCGCCCUAAUGACAGAAGUCUACAUUAUUUACCAAAAUUAGCACGCACUAACGAGCCAAGGAAGCCAUUUUGCUAGUUCAAGUGCCUAUAUAAAGCACGCGGACGAGCGUGUGCCGCUGCAAAACUCUCAUGGAAUUAUAAAGCAUUUAAUCAUGGAUGUAGUGAUAUAUUACACGUGUAAUGAAGUGUAUAUGGUCUUUAACAUCAGUACACGCUACAAGGAGGACGCUACAUCCUGUUUUUUUUUUUGUAGUUGCUUGGUCGCUUUUUACGUGCGAGCACGGUCGCGCCGGACACAUCUACAAGAACACGAACCUCCUGAGGAACCAGCAAAUUGAUCAACUGACACCCUCCCACUCAUCUUCAUGUUGUUGACCAUUGGCUCUCUGUCUGACUGCAGUGCAUCUCCCAGCAGGAGGAGGGCGCUCUUGCAGCCCUCGGUACAACUUUCCAAGCUCUGAAAAAAUGAUCAUUAAUGAAGAAGAAGAAGUGUUUCUUACCAAUGUAAACAAGAGCCAGUCUAAAUGGCAGUGGCAAAAGUCCCCACCGCCCCAUCUCUGAAGGCAGCUGUUGCCUGUCUACAAACUACUGAAGGAUCCCUGUUCCUCACAUCACAUGGACCUGAGAUAGGAAAAGGAUACAACCUCAUGCCAGGAAUGCAGUCUGGAGCAUGUGGCAAAAGGCUCCACCAAAGACACAGCCAAGGCUCUACAGUAGAUGACAAACACCCUGUCAGACACAGCAGCCAAGGUCGGUCUCAGGAUCAGCACUGAAAAAACCAAGGUCAUGUCAGUAAAGGAAGAACACCCUCCAAACUUGCAAGUGAAUGAAGAGACUGCAGAAAAGGUGUGUUUCGAGGGCGCAGGGGCCAGCUUCCUCUGUUGCAGACAACCCCAUGCCAGGAAACUAAUAAGAAAGCCUCAAAACAGGCAGACCACCCAACGCCGACCUACACACAGACCUCGACUAUGACUUAGCAAAAAUAAACUGGAAAUCCUUGAAGUGAACAUCCGAGGAUUAUGCACUAAUAUCGUGGACCUCUCCAACCUCUGCUCAGAAAAAGAAGCCAUCAAUUGUCAUCUUGGUCGAGACGUUCCUGGACUCCACCUUUCCAGAUGGGGCAGAUUCCUGGCUACUCACUCAGCUGUCGCAAGGAUCGCAUUGGGGCGGCCGGAAGUGGUAUAGCAGUCUACUGUCUAGAAGGUGUAUCCAUCUACCACAAUCCAUCCAAAGACCCUGAAGACUUCGAGCUUAUGUGGUUCACUGUUGCUCUGAAGUUAAGGAGGCUGCUGAUAGGUGCUGUUUACUGCCCCCCAAGUGCCUCCAAUGAAGUCUUAGACUAAUUCAACAGAAACACCUUCUCUGUGAUGGACGAGUUCGGAGCCCAGUCAGUGAUGCUCAUUGGCGAUUUCAAUGUACACCACAAAGAGUUCCUGGGGUACACUUAUUAAUGAUCAGAAAUUAUGUAUAUUGAGGCACACCUUUAAAAAUGUUUGGAUUUCACUCACUGUACGCAGUUAUUGAAGGACUGCCUCAAGGUUCCAUCUUGCAGCACAUUUUUUGCUAUCUAUUGCAUUGGUAAUCUAUUUUGUUAUUUUGAUUAAUGCCAUUGAUGUUGAGAUGUUGGCUCUGUAUCCGUAUUGGUUGUCUGUGAGUGUUUCAUUUUUUAUCAUGAAUUUGUCCCAUCUGUUCAAGAGUUUUUCAAUCAUUUUAGAAAAUUGUGGAAGUAGAGAAACAGGUCUGUAGUUUGUAAACUGGUCUUAUAAAUUGGUACGACUUUUGCUAUUUACAUUGUAUCUGGGAAUUUCCCUGUUCAAACUUAUAGGUUGCUGAUAUGUUACAUUUUCUGAAAUCUCUUCAAUAACCUGUUUUAUCGUUUCCAUAUCAGUCAGUUGAGGUCUUGAUUUACAUUUUUUCACAAUAUUGAUUAUUUCGUCUUGUCACACCUUCGAGGAAAAUCGAGUGGGGAUUUCUGUCUGUAGUGUCAUUCAAGUCCUCAACUGACUCGGGAUCUGGAAUCUUUUCUUCCAGAUUUGGUCCAAUCUUCACAAAGUAUGUAUUGAAGCUUUCAGCUACUUUGUUCGUAUUGUCAUUUUUUACAUUUCCAUCUGAGAAGUAUUUAGGAUAAUCCUUCUUAGCACCAUUUUAAAUAAUGCUAUUUAGGAUUAGGAUGUUGCGCUCAUAUUGUUUUAGGUUUGGUCCAAUAAUUGACAGCAAUAAUCUUUCCUACGUGUUCGUAGUAUGCCAGUUAGCUAGUUCUUAUAUGUUUUGUACUUGUUUUCUGCCUCUGUAGAGCUUUGUGUUAUAAAUGUUCUAUAUAAUGUAUUCUUCUUAUUGCAAGCAUUUUUCAGUCCUUUUGUCAUCCAUGGUUGAUUGUUUUUCUUUUGCUUCUUACUAAGUUAUUUCAAUGGACAGUGUUUGUCAUAUACUGUAUACAUUUGAUCUCUCAGAUCAUUUUUGAAAGCUGUCAUACUUUCUGUGCAUAUUCUCUGAAAUGUCUUUUUUUCAUCAAUGUUCCUCUUUUUGGAGUUUCCGUCGUAGAUUAUGAAAACUGGCAGAUGAUCACUGAUGUCGGAUAUUAGCAGACCACUUGUGGUAUUAUCGAAAUCAUUAGUAAAAAUAUUAAGUGUGGCCCUGUGUCCUGAGAUUCUGCUUGGCCCUGUGAUUUUAGGAUAUAAACUCAGGUUGUACAUUGUACAUCAAUAAAGUCAUCUAUGGACUUUUG